rnacentral:rRNA from 1 species
UACGUAGGGGGCAAGCGUUGUCCGGAUUUAUUGGGCGUAAAGAGCUCGUAGGCGGCUCAGUAAGUCGGGUGUGAAACCUCCAGGCUCAACCUGGAGACGCCAUCCGAUACUGCUGUGGCUAGAGUCCGGUAGGGGAGCGUGGAAUUCCUGGUGUAGCGGUGAAAUGCGCAGAUAUCAGGAGGAACACCAGCGGCGAAGGCGGCGCUCUGGGCCGGAACUGACGCUGAGGAGCGAAAGCGUGGGGAGCGAACAGG